UAAAUAUUUACUUUUUUAAUCAGAAAAAAAAUCAAUACAAAUGUUUCUCUUCUUGGUGGCAGCUUACCAUAUGGAACUGAUAAAAAUGUUGAUGUUACAAUGUAUGCAUGUGGACUCUCUUCAGUAUGUGUUCUUUUUCUGUUGUCUUUACAAGACAAUACCUUACGUAGAAGUUGAGAAUCCAAUAGAAGGAAAUUCUGAGCAUUAGGCAAGGCAGGAUUUUGCUUCACUCUUGAAACAAAUGGCUCCCCAUUCAGACUAUAUAUUGGUGUACUUCUGGCAAAAGCACAUAUCCAAGGACAACGUCAGUGUAAUGGUCCUACUUGUUUUAUGUGACUGUGUUAAAGCAAUUUACAUUUUGAAGUUUGGUUACUUGGUUAUUUACAUAGCACAAACUUCAGACUUCUAUUUCUGGUAAUGGUAGAUUAAAUAAUUCCUACUAACACUCCUGCUAAAGACACUAAAAAAACUGGAUAAAUAUUCAAAUACUUGAAUGCUUUGGAGAGCUCUGAAGGCCAAGAUCUGGGAGAAGCUGAAACCUAGACAAGUAAGCUUGGCAAUUGAGCCUACUUUUUCCUUAGGGACAUCUGCGGUUCCUGAAAAUUUGGCUGAAAGUCUAAGGAGAUGAGCAGCUCUUUUGAUAGGAGUCAGGGUGAAUUACAAGUAGCUUGCUCUCUCGGGGACUGAUGCCCAACUUUGAAUCAUCUUGAUCCUUGAGCUUGGGUUAAGGCGAUCCCAGAUUGCAAGUUUCUCUGGCUGCCUGACAGAAGCAAAGGCUGAAUUUGUCUCUCCAUUGUCCCUACCCUGGCCCCAUGGCCUCUGCUGUGACAGUCCACACAGUCCUGGCUCACAAACAUGAUCUCCAAGAGUGGAAGGGUCCUGAUACCUUCUACGAGAUUUACAUUGUCAACUCGGCCCUAUUGUUUUACAGGCGGUGUGCAGAAUAGGUGGUGAGCCAUGUGGAAGAGAUGGCAGAAAGAGCCUCUUGAUCUGUGAGACUUCAUACUGGCUGUGGACCAACUCUUCUACUGAUGUGAAAGAAUAAGCCUCAGCCUACUCAAGCCAUUCUAUCUGGGGCUUCUUAUUACAUAAUCCUUUUAUUUUUAUUUUUUUUAUUUUUUUGCCCUUAAAAUUAUUGGUAAAGAGAUGGGAGUUUAUUUUCCAAGUGAGAACAAUAUUUAUUAGAAUACAGGUUUGUAGCAAGUAAGGACUAAACAGAUUUUUGGACUUUAGAAUAGAAAAGUGAAGAAAAAUGAGUAGCUACAUUUAUAUAUGCAUUCUAAAAUUUUCUCAUUAAACAAAUACUAAUAUGGUAUUUUAAAAUGUCAGGUUUCUUGGCAUGGGUUGCAAGAGGGACUAGGAGUAAGGCAUAAUCCCUGUCCUUAAGCAUAUUAUUCUCAAGUUGAGAGCUCCCACAAAUUGCUAAGCAUUAACCCAUUGAUUAAUUCAUGUGUUUACUCAUUCAAAUGGCAGCGAGGGCACAACUGUUUCAUGGGAGUGCAGAGGAAAAGUGGCCUAAUUCACUUUGGUAGUAGGUUAAAAAAAAAUCUCCUCUUAGGAUUUAGUGCCAGAGUCAAUUUUGGAAUACAAGAUGGAAUUAGUCAGGAAGGAAUGCUGGGGAGGCACAAUCAAAGAGCUUUGGGAGAGGAAUCACGGCUAUUUGCAUUCUUAUGGGGUUUGUUGUAUUUAGUUUGUAGUCUAGAACCAAAACAGCCAGAAUUGAAACUAGUAAUGUCAGCAAAGGAAUAUUAUGAAUGAAUGAAUGAAUAUUAGAAAUCUGAUUUUAAUUAUCAAAGGUUUUAUAUGAGUAGUUAUAAGUUCAUAAUUGAUGAUUCAAGUAACACAAGAACUGAAAAGUCUCUGUUGCAUUGAGAGAUUAAGUAGAGAGUGUGGGGGUGACACGAUGGCAGAGAUACGUGGAAGGGCAUCACAAAACCAGAUUGCUACAAGUGUUGGCUGAGGAGUAGAUGAGCACAAAAAUGAAGAUAAGAAAGACCAUUUCAGGAAGGUUGGCUGUGAAGAGCGGAGAGAGAAACUAGUAACUGAAGGAGGCUGCUUAAAGGGUGCUCAUCAGAAUAAGGCCUCAAAUUUCCCUGUUAAGGCAGCACAACACCCUGAACCACUCAGUCUUUCAUUGAAAUAAAGUUGGUAUUCUGGUGAGAGGAUGGAUUCUGCAACACAGUUUAGGUCUGUUGUUAUUAAUAUGUUUUAGAUACACCAUCCAGUUGUAAAGUGCAGCCCAUUCUUUGCAAUUAUGUACCAUGCCUUGCCUGGGUACUAAAACGAAUCUUUUCCAUAAUGGUAGAUGUGCCUCCAGAAUGGUGCUACCUGGAAAUAAUAAUAAUCCAGACCUUUCAUCUCUGAAUUGUACUAGUGUAAUGUGGGUAUAACUCAGCACAGCACUUGAAGGCCUACAUCUGAAUGGCUGCUUCCUCCCUGACUCCUCAUUUCUCCAUAGCUCCCACUCCCUACUGGUGUCAGUAAACUAUGGCCAGUGAGUAAAAUCCAGCCUAUAACCUGUUUUCAUAUGGCCCUAAGUGAAAAAAUGGUUUUUACAUUUUAAAAAAUCUGAAAUAAAGAAACAAAAGAAUAUGCCACAGCCAAUUAUGUGGCCCACAAACCCUGAAUAUAUACUAUCUGAACUUUUACAGGAAAGGUUUAUCAACUCCUGCCCUAGAAAAUGAUAUAGGGUCAUCAUACAACUUCUUUUUUCUGCUUUUUCCUUUCAUGAUCUCUUCUAUGCUGCUUUUAAGAGGAUCUAUUGCUUAAUGGUCUCUAAGACUUCUCUCCAUUUCUAAUCCCUGUCACUUUAUUGACUGCUUGCUACUCAAUUCUUCUCUUCUUUCCUGUAUUACUUGCCCUCCAUCUCCUUUCCCUAUUGUGUCUGCUGAAAUUCUUGACCUCAUUAUAGAGGGGCUUGACAUUUUAUUGCCAAUACAAGAAAGUAUUCUUUCUGAGGUGACAAAUUACAAUGUGUCAUAUGUGUAAUCUUCAAGUACUCAUCUUAAUUUUUGCUGUUUCUUCAGGUAAAGAAAAAAAAGAAAGGUUUUUUUUUUCAUAUUUCAUGCCCUUCUUCCUUAUCUAGUUACCUUUCCUCAGUCCUUUUUCUUAAUAUCACUCUUUUUCUCUUUGACUUUCAUAAUCCUGAUUGACUCUAGUUCACUAAAUUGUUACUGAUUAUACCACCUCCAGGAAACUGAAGCAGUCCUCAAUUAUUUUCUGCUUGAAUUUUUUAUUUGUUUGAAAUGUUAAAUUUAGCCAAAUAAGUAUUUUUUUUCCAAAAUGGCCCAACAUAAUUUAUUUUUUAUGUUAAAAUGUACAGAGUUCUUUUGAAAGUACUUGCUAGAAAGGGGAAAAAAAGAUAUUACAUACGAGGAGAGAAAGGGAAGCUGGCUGGCCCAGGAGUGCGUGACAUGUGUUCUAAAUCACUUCAUUUUUUAAAGAUGAGUUGAAGCUACAUAAAAUGGAACUGGACAUUUUUUCAACAUAGGUUUUCAGCUCAUGUCAGAUAGUCAGCUUGGUAACUGCCAAUGAUCAACAUAAAAAGAGCCAGCACAACAGCUUACCAUGUUUUAUCUCAUCAUGGCCCUUAAAAUGAUAAAAUGCACCUAACCUUUUCCUCAUUUUGCAACAUUGGACCCUCUACAACACAAUAUAAUCUGCAGACCUAUGAAGAACUAAUUAUGCAUAUAAUAAGGUUGUAAUUUCUCUCCAAUAUUAUCACCAAGUUAUCUUCACAUUUUAAAUGUUUCCUUAUAAAAUUUUCCAUGGUAUGUACAUCAUUUUUUUAAACUUAUUUGCAUUCAAAAUUAAGGGUGCUUUUCUCAAACCUUUUCAUUAUUACCGUCUUAUAUAAAUGGGAGGGCAAUGUGAUACUAAAAGGUCCAACAAAAUAAGCAUUAUGAAAAAAAGUCUGUUGGGCAAUGUUCUAACAUCCACUUAAUCCAUAAAGACAAGUUCUCUCAGUAUUGAUGUAAUAUAGAAUAUAUUCUAAGUUAUGCAAGAACA
rnacentral:lncRNA from 10 species